GACGAACGCUGGCGGCGUGCCUAAUACAUGCAAGUCGAACGCAUUUUCUUUCACCGUAGCUUGCUACACCGAAAGAAAAUGAGUGGCGAACGGGUGAGUAACACGUGGGUAACCUGCCCAUCAGCGGGGGAUAACACUUGGAAACAGGUGCUAAUACCGCAUAAUUCCAUUUACCGCAUGGUAAAUGGAUGAAAGGCGCUUUUGCGUCACUGAUGGAUGGACCCGCGGUGCAUUAGCUAGUUGGUGGGGUAACGGCCUACCAAGGCUGCGAUGCAUAGCCGACCGGAGAGGGGGAUCGGCCACACUGGGACUGAGACACGGCCCAGACUCCUACGGGAGGCAGCAGUAGGGAAUCUUCGGCAAUGGACGCAAGUCUGACCGAGCAACGCCGCGUGAGUGAAGAAGGUUUUCGGAUCGUAAAACUCUGUUGUUAGAGAAGAACAAGGAUGAGAGUGGAAAGUUCAUCCCUUGACGGUAUCUAACCAGAAAGCCACGGCUAACUACGUG
rnacentral:rRNA from 1 species